CCUACGAGAGGCAGCAGUGGGGAAUUUUGGACAAUGGGCGCAAGCCUGAUCCAGCCAUGCCGCGUGUCUGAAGAAGGCCUUCGGGUUGUAAAGGACUUUUGUCAGGGAAGAAAAGGCUGUUGCUAAUAUCGACAGUUGAUGACGGUACCUGAAGAAUAAGCACCGGCUAACUACGUGCCAGCAGCCGCGGUAAUACGUAGGGUGCGAGCGUUAAUCGGAAUUACUGGGCGUAAAGCGAGCGCAGACGGUUACUUAAGCAGGAUGUGAAAUCCCCGGGCUCAACCUGGGAACUGCGUUCUGAACUGGGUGACUAGGGUGUGUCAGAGGGAGGUAGAAUUCCACGUGUAGCAGUGAAAUGCGUAGAGAUGUGGAGGAAUACCGAUGGCGAAGGCAGCCUCCUGGGAUAACACUGACGUUCAUGCUCGAAAGCGUGGGUAGCAAACAGGAUUAGAUACCCUGGUAGUC
rnacentral:rRNA from 1 species